GUCGAACGCUGAAGCUUGGGUGUUUUUCAUCUGGGUGGAUGAGUGGCGAACGGGUGAGUAAUACGUGAGUAACCUGCCCUUGACUCUGGGAUAAGCCUGGGAAACUGGGUCUAAUACUGGAUACUACGUGCCCUCGCAUGGGGGUGUGUGGAAAGGGUUUUACUGGUUUUGGAUGGGCUCACGGCCUAUCAGCUUGUUGGUGGGGUAAUGGCCUACCAAGGCGACGACGGGUAGCCGGCCUGAGAGGGUGACCGGCCACACUGGGACUGAGACACGGCCCAGACUCCUACGGGAGGCAGCAGUGGGGAAUAUUGCACAAUGGGCGAAAGCCUGAUGCAGCGACGCCGCGUGAGGGAUGACGGCCUUCGGGUUGUAAACCUCUUUCAGCACGGAAGAAGCGAAAGUGACGGUACGUGCAGAAGAAGCGCCGGCUAACUACGUGCCAGCAGCCGCGGUAAUACGUAGGGCGCAAGCGUUGUCCGGAAUUAUUGGGCGUAAAGAGCUCGUAGGCGGUUUGUCGCGUCUGCUGUGAAAGCCCGGGGCUUAACCCCGUGGUGUGCAGUGGGUACGGGCAGACUAGAGUGCAGUAGGGGAGACUGGAAUUCCUGGUGUAGCGGUGAAAUGCGCAGAUAUCAGGAGGAACACCGAUGGCGAAGGCAGGUCUCUGGGCUGUUACUGACGCUGAGGAGCGAAAGCAUGGGGAGCGAACAGGAUUAGAUACCCUGGUAGUCCAUGCCGUAAACGUUGGGCACUAGGUGUGGGGGACAUUCCACGUUU
rnacentral:rRNA from 1 species